GGGUCAUUAUCACAGCCUGUGUCAGCUCAGGCAUUUCAAGGCCAGAACGCACGCUGGGCAGACAGCAAGUGCUGAGUCAGCAUGACCUCCAGUACAGAGGCCAUGAGAAGAGCGGCUCGACUGGAGGCCACAUAACAGGAGUCCGCAGCUUUUGAUCUCUUUACUCGUGAGUGAGGGAGAAGACCUGCUUCUUCAGCCGCCAAGUGGUGGUCUCUGCCAGACAGCUGCUGACAGGCAGCGAGGAGAAAAGAGGCUUGAGAGGAGGGGCUUUGGAGCCCGUCCUGGAACUAGCAUGUGGCACAAUUGUGGAUCGCCUGCUGCUACCCUGGGUUUGCCUCAUCUGCAUCCCGGCGCCCAGCCUGGGGCAGCAUCUGGACAAGGAAGACCACGUGUAUUUCAUUUUCCCCUUGAGUGCCACAGCACCCAGCACUGAGCAGGGUGGGAACACAAACACAUUUAUUACACGCCUGCUGCAUGAUAGACAUGGCUGGGGCCUCACACACGUGACUAGAGGCACAUGGAGCUUACAACCGCCCUCUGCACAGACAGGGAAAAUCAAGGCCAUGAUGACUCGACCCUCCAAGGAAAGCAGGUCCCAAGGAACAUGAGAGACAACUGAUGGAACCAACCCUUCCAGAAUAAAGAAUUAUGAAAGAAGAAAUUUGGGAACCAGCAAGAUGGUUCUUGCUGCCAAGGCUGAUGACCUGCGUUCAAUACCCAGGACCCACACUCUAGAAGGGGAGAAACAACGCCCACCAUGGUGUCCUCUGGGACACAUGCACAAGAUGAAAAUUAAACUUGGUCCAGCAUGGCAGUGAUGAGGAGGAGAGGCCCUGAAUUAAUAAACACUAAGGACUCCAUUUUUAGGUCCCCAGCC